rnacentral:rRNA from 1 species
UACGGAAGGGGCAAGCGUUGUUCGGAAUCAUUGGGCGUAAAGGGCGCGUAGGUGGUUCUGUAUGUCUACCGUGAAAGCGUACGGCUCAACCGUAUUUUGUCGGUGGAAACUGCAGGACUUGAGGCUGGGAGGGGCUGGUGGAAUUCCCUGUGUAGCGGUGAAAUGCGUAGAGAUGGGGGGAGAACACUCGUGGCGAAGGCGGCCAGCUAGACCAGUUCUGACACUGAGGCGCGACAGCGUGGGGAGCAAACAGG